UUGGAAAUAGAGAAAGAACUUAAGCGCUUGAAUAAGCCAGCAGUGAAGACUAUUAAGACAAAAUAUGGAGAUAUAUAUGAUUGUGUGGACUUCUACAAACAACCUGCAUUUGAUCAUCCUUUAUUGAAGAAUCAUAAUUUUCAUCCCCAGAUGAGGCCAACAUCACCUCCU